CCCGCAAGCCCGGGCUUGACUCUGCGAGCACCGCUCCCGCCCGGUCAGGGGCAGGUCCCGCGCCCGCCGCCUGCGGGACCCGAACCGGCGUCUUGAGAAGCCCGGCCCUCCUCCCUCCUCUCUCGCCCCGCGCCCGCCGCGAGCGAUGCCCCGAGACCCAGCCCACGCCUAGAGCGGGCAGCGGCCUGGCGGUGGGGUCGAAAGCUACGGCACAGAGCCGUGCCUGAGUCGGAAAGAAGCCUCGGCGGAAGCGGAAGCGGAAGCGGAGAUGGCCGCAGCGGAGCGGGCAGGGGCCGUGUGUGACCCUGGCCGGGUCAUUUCCGUCGGGCCGGGCAGGCCCCUGGCAAGGAGGACCCUGAGCAUCUGUGUAGCCUGGAUGACCUUGCCCCGGAGGAGCCGAGGUGGGCACGCUAGGAGAGGCCCCCAGGGAUGACAUGGCGACCCGAAUGGCAGAAUCAUGUGGUCUCUCAUACCGCGGAACAGUAGGUCACGAUGAAAAGGAACCAUGCGGAUUCAAAGGACUGAUUGUCAGCUUAGGCAGAGCCCAGAAACACACGUGAAAAUUUACUGGAAAAACAGAGAGGGAGCCUGGGACUGGGGAUGGGGGACAAAGGGGACUUUAACUUAAUUGGCAUUGUUUUGUUUCUAGUCUAUGGAAGAGGCAGAGGUGGGAACACGAGUGCCUAUUAGGAUACUGUAUACUUUUUUGGUAAAUCUUUUAUUUUCUUUAAAUUAAAUAAAGGGGGGAAUUAGGUCCCCCUGUUCUUGUUUGGCCUGUGGCCACAGCAUCUGUUCCAGGAGAGAGGUGAGUCUGCAUGGGUGGGGGAAGAGAAGCCCUUAUCUCAGGGCAGGGCUCAUGCUCGCUGGGGACAGCCACCCUGCCACCACCACUGCCAAAUUAAGCCUUAUUUGUGUGCAGAUUUUUUUUUCUGGAGACAGAGUCUUGCUCUGCCCAGGCUGGAGUGCAAUGGCACGAUCUCGGCUCACUCCAACCUCCACCUCCCGGAUCCAAGCAAUUCUCCUGCCUCAGCCUCCCAAGUAGCUGGGAUUACAGGCACCUGCCACCACUCCCGGCUAAUUUUUUGUAUUUUUAGUAGAGAUAGGGUUUCAUCAUGUUGACCAGGCUGAUCUCAAACUCCUUACCUCAGGUGAUCCACCCGCCUCAGCACUUUGGGAGGCCGAAGCAGGCGGAUCUCUGGACUCAACUAAUGAUGCUGGAAAAACCGCAUAUCCACAUGCAAAAGAAUGAAGUUGGACCCUAACCUAGCACCAUAUACAAAAAUUACCUCAAAAUGGAUUCAGGACAUAAACAUAAGACCUGUAACUAUAAAAAUCCUGAAAGAAAACAGGGGGAAAGGUCUACAACAUUAGAUGUGGCAAUGAUUUUUUUAGAUAUGACCCCAAAAGCAAGAAUAGACAAAUAGGACCAAGUCAGACUUUAUAAAAACUGCACAGCAAAGGAAACAACAGAAUGAAAGGCAAUCUGUGGAAUGGGAGAAAAUAUUGCAAAUCAGAUAUCUAAUAAGGAAUUGCUAUCCAAAAUAAAAUUUAGACUCCUACCACUCGACAACAACAAACAACUCACUUAAAAAUGGGCAAAAGGCUGGGUAUGGUUGCUCAUGCCUGUAAUCCCAGGCUUCCCUUGGGAGGCCAAGGUGGGAGGAUCACUUGAGGCCAAUAGUUAGAAACUAGUCUGGGCGAUAUUGUGAGACCUCAUCUCUACAAAAAGUAAACUAAAACAAGGCAGGCAUGAUAGCACCUAUAGUCCUAGUUACUUGGUAGGCUGAGGCAGGAGGAUCACUUGAGCUCAGGAGUUCAAGGUUGCAGUGAGCUAUGAUUGUGCUACUGUACCCUAGCCUGGACAACACAGCACAAGAAAAAAUAAAGUGGACCUUUUCAUCAGUUAUAACAAGUGCACAACUCUUGUUCAGGGGAAGCUGUGCAGUUGGGAGGGCAGAGAGUAUGUGGGAGCUCUCUGUACUUUGUGCUCAGUUUUGCGUGAAUCUAAAACUGCUCUGAAAAAUUAAGUCUGUGAAAAGGAAGAAAUGAACUACCAAGUCAUGAAAAAAACACAGAAGAAUCUUCAAUGUAUAUUACUAAGUGAAAAUGCAUACUACUGCUAUGGUUUGAAUGUGUCCCCUAAAGUUCAUGUGUUAGAAACUUGAUCCCCAAUGUGGUGGUCUUGGAGAUGGGACCUAGUGGGAAGUGUUUGGGUCAUGGGGCCACUACCCUCAUAAAUGCAUUAAUGCCAUUCUCAAAGGAGUGGGUUCAUUAUAGAGCAAGUAGUUUUCUUAUAAAAGAAGUUUGCCUUCCCACCCUCUCUUUGCCCGGCCUCUGGGUUGAUGAAGCAAGAAGGUCCUCACCAAAUGCCAGCUCCUCGAUCUUGGGCUUCCCAGCCUUCA
rnacentral:lncRNA from 10 species